GGUAAAUAUAAAUGUGGGUGCAUAAUAUAGACUUUUUCUGAAUGGUUUAUAAGUUGCAGUGCUGGGAUUACAAGCGUGAGCUACCACACCCAGCGAGGAAGCCAAGUUUAACGUGUGUGCUCCACUCCUCCAACCUGGCCAAAGGGCAGUCAUCAUCACUGGCCACUACUGACCACAGCCUUUAGAAACUCCCCUUGAACGUGCUGGGCUGACCUUCCUCUGAUCACAGGCAAGGCAAAGGAAAACGACAGGCCCUUGCCUUCCUGGUCCUCAAGGGUCAGCUGUAAGAUGAUGUCAUAAAGCCGGAUCAGGUCCUGGGGCCGGGGGAAGCACUUGCUGUCAUCCUCUGGCUGCUGCUGCAGCAGAGCCCUCUGCAGACCUUUGGCCAUGCUCUCAUUACGCUUGAUUGCCAUUGACAGCUUGAUGUAAGUCAGGUUGUAGAUGAGCAUGAGAGUGUGGAGCAGAGUCGGCGAGCGCAAGUCGAGCCCAUCAUCCUGGACAGCCGUCUCCGUGCCUUCCCCAGUGAGGAAGAGCUAGGGGAAGAUGAGAUGUACUACUGUUCCAAGUGUAAGACCCACUGCUUAGCAACAAAGAAGCUGGAUCUCUGGAGGCUUCCACCCUUCCUGUAGAGACGA
rnacentral:lncRNA from 1 species